GGCUCAUUAUCGCGCCCAUGCCAUUGGGUUCUGUUCGGGGUCCCACACCUGACAGUUUACGCGGGCUUUAGGGAAAGAGACGAGGAUUAUGAAGAAACCAGGGCCACUAAUCUGGAGAAAAAGCCAAUUUCUGCAGCUCUUUAAAGGCCUUUGGACUCUGCCUGAACUACACCACCGGCUUUCCUGGGUCUCCAGCCUGCAGACUGCAGAUUGCGGGACUUCUAGCUCCACGCGUGUGUAGGCCACAGAAGACAGCCCCAGGCCUUGCUUCAGCUGCUUCCUGCUGUUUGGUUACAUUGUGUCUUUUGGACAUAAGCCACACUACAACUUGAAGAGUUCUUUCAACACCAGCUCGUCCACUGAGGAAGCAUCAGUGAUGCGAUUCUCCAGGUAACUGGCUUGGAGGAGCUCAGGUAGGAGAGUGCUUGACAGCAAGGAGUGGUGAACAGGCCUGUAGCCAG